UACGUAGGGGGCAAGCGUUAUCCGGAUUUACUGGGUGUAAAGGGAGCGUAGACGGCUUUGCAAGCCAGAUGUGAAAGCCCGGGGCUCAACCCCGGGACUGCAUUUGGAACUGUAUGGCUGGAGUGUCGGAGAGGCAGGCGGAAUUCCUAGUGUAGCGGUGAAAUGCGUAGAUAUUAGGAAGAACACCAGUGGCGAAGGCGAUUCUCUGGACUGUAACUGACGUUGAGGCUCGAAAGCGUGGGGAGCAAACAGG
rnacentral:rRNA from 1 species